CUUUUGUUACUUCAUUUCCUACCUCUCUUAGGAAAAUGGAAGCAGGAAUAACUUUGGGUGCUGGUCAGAGUUAUAUGGAGGGAAGCCAGUGACUCCUCAGCUCCAUUAUUUCUUUCUUUCUUUUUUUGGGGGGGCACCAGAGAUAGAACUCAGAUCCUUAUGCUUGCGAGGCAGGUAGUGGAACCACUGAGCUAAAUCAUCAGCCCUCAGCUCCUUUAUUUCUAACUGUACUAAGCAGACUGUUUAGCAGAGGAAACCCACAGCCAGGCCAGGAGGAGAGCUAGGCUUCCCGCCUUGUCUUCCUGUGUCUACUCUGCUCCAACCCAGGACGCAGCUGCGGUGAGCGGCACAGUCAGGCUCGGGGCAUCUGCUCUGCGUCACCUGCAGCAGGAACCGCAUCUUUCCCGCAGCAUCUCCAGGGCGGGAGCCGAUGGCCACGGAGUCUACGGCAAACCCAGCCUCUCGGCCCUGCCCAGCCCUGUG
rnacentral:lncRNA from 1 species